CUUCGACUCAUUUUCUUUAAUAUUUUUAUUAGUGAUAUUGCAGAAGGUAUUGAUGGUAAGGUAUGUCUUUUUGCUGAUGAUACAAAAAUAUGUAACAGGGUUGAUGUUCCAGGAGGGAUAAGCCAAAUGGCAAAUGAUUUAGGUAAACAAGAAAAAUGGUCAGAGUUGUGGCAACUGACAUUUAAUGUGGAUAAGUGCAAGAUAAUGCAUCUUGGAUGUAAAAACCCAAGGGCAGAGUAC